CUCCUACGGGUGGCUGCAGUAGGGAAUUUUCCACAAUGGGCGAAAGCCUGAUGGAGCAACGCCGCGUGCAGGAUGAAGGCCCUCGGGUCGUAAACUGCUUUUAUGUGAGAAGAAUAUGACGGUAACACAUGAAUAAGGGUCGGCUAACUACGUGCCAGCAGCCGCGGUCAUACGUAGGACCCAAGCGUUAUCCGGAAUUACUGGGCGUAAAGAGUUGCGUAGGUGGCAUUAUAAGUGGAGCGUGAAAGCGUGCGGCUCAACCGCAUUACUGCGUUCCAAACUGUGAGGCUUGAGUAUGAGAGAGGUUAUUGGAAUUCCCAGUGUAGGAGUGAAAUCCGUAGAUAUUGGGAGGAGCACCGAUGGCGUAGGCAGAUAACUGGCUCAUUACUGACACUAAGGCACGAAAGCGUGGGGAGCAAACGGGAUUAGAUACCCCGGUAGUCCACGCCGUAAACUAUGGAUGCUAGCUGUUACUCAUAUCGACCUGAGUAGUAGCGAAGUUAACGCGUUAAGC
rnacentral:rRNA from 1 species